rnacentral:rRNA from 1 species
CAUGCAAGUAGACGCUGAGGUUUGGUGCCUACUCUAGACUGAUGAGUUGCGAAGGGAGGGGAGACACGUAGGUAACCUGCCUCAUAGCGGGGGAUAAAAAUGGAAACGAUAGCUAAUACCGCAUAAGAGUAAUUAACACAUGUUAGUUAUUUAAAAGGAGCAAUUGCUUUCCCCCUGAAAUGGACCUGCGUUGUAUUAACUAGUUGGUGAGGUAAAGGCUCACCAAGGGGACGAUACAUAGCCGACCUGAGAGGGUGAUCGGCCACACUGGGACUGAGACACGGCCCAGACUCCUACGGGAGGCAGCAGUAGGGAAUCUUCGGCAAUGGACGGAAGUCUGACCGAGCAACGCCGCGUGAGUGAAGAAGGUUUUCGGAUCGUAAAGCUCUGUUGUUAGAGAAAAACGUUGGUAGGAGUGGAAAAUCUACCAAGUGACGGUAACUAACCAGAAAGGGACGGCUAACUACGUGCCGGGGGGCCGCGGGUAAUACGUAAGGUCCCGAGCGUUGUCCGGAAUUUAUUGGGGCGUAAAGCCGAGCGGCAGGCGGGUUCUUUAAGUCU